UUUUCAAACAAUUCUGAACACCUGAGCGCUCUCUCUCUCUCCAUGGUGAUGGCACUAGAACCCCACGCAUCACAGAACCCUGAUAAAAUUCACACAGACGUCCUCUUAGAAGCAAGACAAGCUUGCUACAAGGCUCGUGAUGCAUUCUAUGCAUGUUUGGAGAUGGAAUCGAACAAGAAACCAACCGAAAUCGCUUCAGUUGGACUACUGUACCCUAUUGAAUGCAAGAAAUCUAGGGAUCAAUUUGUGAAACAAUGUCGACCCACUUGGGUGAAGCAUUUUGAUAGGCAGUACGCUUCGAAGAAGAGGCUUCAAAGGCUUUUGGAUGACAGUGAGUCCAGGAGAGUGUAUUGGGUGACUCUUGCUUUGAUUCUUCCACAAUCUUUGGGUUCUAGCAAAAAGAGUUAUUAUGUGAUUCAGACUGCAGAAUCAGGGGUGUGAAGCUUGGCCCUUGUGGAAGAGAGAAGUGAAAUCUUUUUUUUGGUUAUCCUCAUAACCUAUUGGGUGGUUCUUGCUUUGAAUCUUAUACAAUCUUUGGGGAUUUUAUCUGCAACCAACUACACACAACUGCGGGGAACCAUAGCUGAAAAGCCUUUUGGAGUUGUCUUUGGCUCCCAACUUUUAGUACGUGCUUGAAGCACAGUUGCACGAAGCUUCACUUCUAGCAUUAAAAUUUUGGUUCCUUCCUUUUCUUGACCUUUAAUUUCAAUUUUUCCUUUUAUGUGCAAUAUGUUGGCUCAGGAAGAUUUCCAAUUUUAUCAAAUCUGCAACUACUUUCAUGUUCAUUUUUCUAUUUGAGUGAUGAAAUGCAUGAUUUGCUUACAUUUGCU